GCUACACACCCCCUUUUCAGUGAGAUCACAUUGCCCACCGCAGAGAAGUUGCAGCACACUCGAGCCCUGCUUGGCAUUUUUCAGGUGGUUCCUGCGCACACUUAGGACACUUUUCCAGCCGCCUGACUCAGGACCGAAGACGUCCCAUCUGCACAUAGGCGUUUGGAGGACAGGAACAGGACAGGACUCUCACCCUCAACACGCACAGCAGCACCACCACAGACAUGUCGGACUCCGAGACCGCCGCUGCCCCCGCCGAGGCCCCCGUCCCUGCUGCCUGUGCCGCCAUCAAGGCUGACCUGGACAAAUGUGUGGCAGAGAAAGGAGCCGAGGGCUGCAAAGAUCUGAUGGAGGCCUUUGCUGCUUGUGUGAAGAGUGCAGCUGAGGGGACGUCAUGAGGAGUCGCCCUCCAACCUCAAAUGUCCACUGCACUGAGUCCUCCAAGUUCCCAGCAUUCCCUUCUGCGCACCAGCACUGGACUGAAUGAUGACAACAAUGACGACAACGAUGAUGAUGCUGAUGAUGAUCAUGGUGUGACGAACACUGUGUUGAUUCGGGCUGAGUUAGGGAUCUGGCAGCAGUAAACCACAGUUUCCUCCCCCUGUCCUUCCCCCUGUUAUAGGCUUAUCUGGUGUCCCUCAGUCUUACCGCCAUUCCCCCUCUCCCUCUAUGACUGACAUAAAGUACAUCGACUUGUAGACAACUCCAGAGGGCCGAUGGGCUGUGAUGUAAAUUGUCAACUUGAAAUGAAUACUUAUAAAUGGAAAUAAAAGUAUCAAAUAAUUGGUUUAAAAACAGA